GUCUUCCAGCUAAGGUGCAUCUAGUGUAGUCAGUGAAGUAGCUCAGUAUCUACUGCCCUAGUUGCUCCUUCUGGCUGGAGGG
rnacentral:pre_miRNA from 21 species